CUACGGGAGGCAGCAGUGGGGAAUAUUGGACAAUGGGCGCAAGCCUGAUCCAGCAAUGCCGCGUGUGUGAAGAAGGCCUGCGGGUUGUAAAGCACUUUAAGCCGGAAAGAAGGGGUGGUGGUUAAUACCCGCCAUCAUUGAUGUUACCGGCAGAAUAAGCACCGGCUAACUCCGUGCCAGCAGCCGCGGUAAUACGGAGGGUGCGAGCGUUAAUCGGAAUUACGGGGCGUAAAGCGCGCGUAGGCGGUUGACUAAGUCCGCUGUGAAAGCCCUGGGCUUAACCUGGGAAUGGCAGUGGAUACUGGUUGGCUAGAGUGUGGUAGAGAGGAGUGGAAUUUCCGGUGUAGCAGUGAAAUGCGUAGAGAUCGGAAGGAACACCAGUGGCGAAGGCGGCUCCCUGGACCAACACUGACGCUGAGGUGCGAAAGCGUGGGGAGCAAACAGGAUUAGAAACCCGGGUAGUCC
rnacentral:rRNA from 1 species